GCGGGUAUCGUAUAAUGGUUAUUAUAGGUGGUUGCCAAUCACUUGACGGGGGUUCGAUUCCCCCUACCCGCUCCA
rnacentral:tRNA from 1 species